CAUUCUAGUCUCCCAGCCAUUCUUAGGAAGAGACGUGCCUGUCUCUGGGAAGAGGCAACUUCUCUGCAUGUCAGAGGUCUGUUACAUUUCCCAGAAUGGUUCCCAGUGCUGGAGAUAAUUCCUUUUCGGAGAACCUACAUUUCUCACCUGCUGAUUGCAAUUAGCCACUACCAGCUGGGGCCUGGUGUGCAGCUGAAAAGCUAACAAGAAGUGGAGACCACGCGGAACUCAGACAGGGCAUAGGAUGUGCAUAAAUAAGCAACGGUGCCUGUGUUUAUGAGAUGCUCCUGUGAAUUCGAGGCUUCCCCACCCUCUGCAUAACUCUCCCUCUUCUGGCUUUGUGCUGCACACCCCUCCCCUAACUAUAUUUUUUGUCUCUGGUUUUGUAGCCUACGUUUAACAUCACAGUCACGAAUUUACCACUAAGUACAUUUUGUUAGGCAAUAAACAGCCUUGGAAGAAAAAUGAAA
rnacentral:lncRNA from 1 species